UAGCAGUGAGGAAUAUUGGUCAAUAGCCUAACGGCUGAACCAGCAACUUGGAGGAACGAAUAGCUAUUGCUAAUUGCACCUACAAAUCGUGGGUGCGAAAUUGACUAUGUCAAAUAAAGUUCUAAGCAGAAAUAUGAUAAUGACAUUGUCUGUUUAUGUGUCUUGACCAAAUUACGUGCCAGCAGUCGCGGUAAUACGUAAAAGACUAGUGUUAUUCAUCUUUAAUAGGUUUAAAGGGUACCUAGACGGUAAAUCAAGCUUAAAAAAUUGGGACUAAUUUACUAGAGUUACUUGUGAGGGGGUUUUAAAGUACUAAUGGUGUAGAGAUGAAAUUCUUUGAUACCUCUUUUCGAAAGAAAAAUCAUGGCACAGGUAUAGGCGAAGGCAUCCCCUUAUGUGAUAACUGACGUUGAGGACGAAGGA
rnacentral:rRNA from 1 species